GCGGUCUUAGUAUAGUGGUCUAGUACGGCUCGUUGUGGAGAACUCGAGUUCGGAUGAGGGUCUUCCGCUAUCUUGAGCCGAGCAGACGGAUGUUCGAUUCCUCCAGACCGCA
rnacentral:tRNA from 1 species